GCCUGCAUGAAGUCGGAAUUGCUAGUAAUCGCAGAUCAGCAUGCUGCGGUGAAUACGUUCCCGGGCCUUGUACACACCGCCCGUCACACCAUGGGAGUCGGUAACACCCGAAGCCUGUAGUCUAACCGCAAGGAGGACGCAGUCGAAGGUGGGAUUGAUGAUUAGGGUUAAGUCGUAACAAGGUAAC
rnacentral:rRNA from 1 species